rnacentral:snRNA from 1 species
GGGUGUGAGGGUGUUGUGGCUGCACCAUGUCACCCCACUGAUCUGGUUGAUCAACCAGUUGAUCUGGUUGGCUAUGUGAGUGUCUCCUCCCCUCUUCCCACUCCAUAUACAUGCCUUCCAGAGCUACAUGCCUAUUUGGUCAAAGAGGAUGACCUAAGAGAGGAGGGUGGAUCUUCGAUAAAGGGUGUGGGAAUAGCUCUGUCACUCUGCAAGAACCUCUAAACAAGCCAAGUCUCCAUAGCCGGCCCGGAGAAAGGCAGGGAGAGAGGAGGAAAGAAAUAAAAGAGAGUUAUCAGGUUAAAGAAGAAUUUAUUGUGUGAGAU